AUUGAACGCUGGCGGCAUGCCUUACACAUGCAAGUCGAACGGUAACAGGUCUUCGGAUGCUGACGAGUGGCGAACGGGUGAGUAAUACAUCGGAACGUGCCUAGUAGUGGGGGAUAACUACUCGAAAGAGUGGCUAAUACCGCAUGAGAUCUACGGAUGAAAGCAGGGGGUCGCAAGACCUUGUGCUACUAGAGCGGCCGAUGGCAGAUUAGGUAGUUGGUGGGAUAAAAGCUUACCAAGCCGACGAUCUGUAGCUGGUCUGAGAGGACGAUCAGGCACACUGGGACUGAGACACGGCCCAGACUCCUACGGGAGGCAGCAGUGGGGAAUUUUGGACAAUGGGCGAAAGCCUGAUCCAGCAAUGCCGCGUGCAGGAUGAAGGCCUUCGGGUUGUAAACUGCUUUUGUACGGAACGAAAAGCCCUGGGUUAAUACCCUGGGGUCAUGACGGUACCGUAAGAAUAAGCACCGGCUAACUACGUGCCAGCCGCCGCAGUAA
rnacentral:rRNA from 1 species